UACGGGGGGGGUAAGCGUUGUUCGGAAUUACUGGGCGUAAAGGGCUCGUAGGCGGCCAACUAAGUCAGACGUGAAAUCCCUCAGCUUAACUGGGGAACUGCGUCUGAUACUGGAUGGCUUGGAUCCGGGAGAGGGAUGCGGAAUUCCAGGUGUAGCGGUGAAAUGCGUAGAUAUCUGGAGGAACACCGGUGGCGAAGGCGGCAUCCUGGACCAAUAUUGACGCUGAGGAGCGAAAGCCAGGGGAGCAAACGGG
rnacentral:rRNA from 1 species